rnacentral:rRNA from 1 species
CCAGAGCUUAACUCUGGAACUGCCAUCAAAACUUUUCAGCUAGAGUUUGAUAGAGGAAAGCAGAAUUUCUAGUGUAGAGGUGAAAUUCGUAGAUAUUAGAAAGAAUACCAAUUGCGAAGGCAGCUUUCUGGAUCAUUACUGACACUGAGGAACGAAAGCAUGGGUAGCGAAGAGGAUUAGAUACCCUCGUAGUCCAUGCCGUAAACGAUGUGUGUUAGACGUUGGAAAUUUAUUUUCAGUGUCGCAGCGAAAGCGAUAAACACACCGCCUGGGGAGUACGACCGCAAGGUUAAAACUCAAAUGAAUUGACGGGGACCCGCACAAGUAGUGGAGCAUGUGGUUUAAUUCGAAGAUACGCGCAGAACCUUACCAACACUUGACAUGUUCGUCGCGACUUUAAGAGAUUAAAGUUUUCGGUUCGGCCGGACGAAACACAGGUGCUGCAUGGCUGUCGUCAGCUCGUGUCGUGAGAUGUUGGGUUAAGUCCCGCAACGAGCGCAACCCUCACUUUUAGUUGCCAUCAUUUAGUUGGGCACUCUGAAAGAACUGCCAGUGAUAAGCUGGAGGAAGGUGGGGAUGACGUCAAGUCCUCAUGGCCCUUACGUGUUGGGCUACACACGUGCUACAAUGGUAUCUACAACAGGAAGCAAAACGGCGACGUUAAGCAAAUCCUUAAAAGAUACCUCAGUUCGGAUUGCACUCUGCAACUCGAGUGCAUGAAGCUGGAAUUACUAGUAAUCGUGGAUCAGCGUGCCACGGUGAAUGCGUUCCCGGGUCUUGUACACACCGCCCGUCACACCAUGGGAGUUGGUUCUACCUUAAGGCAAGGUUUAAAAUCCUUGACCACGGUAUAGUCAGCGACUGGGGUGAAGUCGUAACAAGGUAGCCG